rnacentral:lncRNA from 1 species
UCAAAGGUCACUUGAACUCCUUUCGCCUGGCUGGUAACUCUGCCAUCCUUAUCCUUUAAAUUUGCCAUGAAUUCAAUAAUCCCAUUCCUACCUAGCCUUCUAUCCAUCUGAAGGACCAUCAGCUUCUACCCUUGAACAACUAAGGCAUCCACCAAUCUAACAAUUCCUAGUUACACCAAGUCUUUCAGCAAUCUGCCAUUCAAAAAUAUUCUUUUGCCAAACUUGACCAGCUUGUCUU